CCCUUAGAUGUUCUGGGCUGCACGCGCGCUACACUGACAUACUCAGCAAGUUUCCUUUCCCGAAAGGGUUGGGUAAUCUUGUUAGUGUAUGUCGUGAUGGGGAUAGAAUAUUGUAAUUAUUGCUCUUUAACGAGGAAUUCCUAGUAAGCGCAAGUCAACAGCUUGCGCUGAUUACGUCCCUGCCCUUUGUACACACCGCCCGUCGCUCCUACCGAUUUCGAGUGGUUCGGUGAACCUUUCGGACCGGCAAUGCCUCGUGUUGCGCCGGAAAGUCAAGUAAACCAUAUCACUUAGAGGAAGGAGAAGUCGUAACA
rnacentral:rRNA from 1 species